rnacentral:rRNA from 1 species
UACAGAGGGUGCGAGCGUUAAUCGGAAUUACUGGGCGUAAAGCGUGCGUAGACGGUUAUCUAAGUCGGAUGUGAAAGCCCCGGGCUCAACCUGGGAAUUGCAUUCGAGACUGAAUAGCUAGGGUGCGGUAGAGGGAAGCGGAAUUUCCGGUGUAGCGGUGAAAUGCGUAGAUAUCGGAAGGAACAUCAGUGGCGAAAGCGGCUUCCUGGACCAGCACCGACGUCAGGCACGAAAGCGUGGGGAGCAAACAGGA